rnacentral:rRNA from 1 species
CCUACGGGCUGCACCAGUGGGGAAUAUUGGACAAUGGGGGGAACCCUGAUCCAGCCAUGCCGCGUGUGUGAAGAAGGCCUUAUGGUUGUAAAGCACUUUAAGCGAGGAGGAGGCUACUAGUAUUAAUACUACUGGAUAGUGGACGUUACUCGCAGAAUAAGCGCCGGCUAACUCUGUGCCAGCAGCCGCGGUAAUACAGAGGGUGCGAGCGUUAAUCGGAUUUACUGGGCGUAAAGCGUGCGUAGGCGGCCAAUUAAGUCAAAUGUGAAAUCCCCGAGCUUAACUUGGGAAUUGCAUUCGAUACUGGAUGGCUAGAGUAUGGGAGAGGAUGGUAGAAUUCCAGGUGUAGCGGUGAAAUGCGUAGAGAUCUGGAGGAAUACCGAUGGCGAAGGCAGCCAUCUGGCCUAAUACUGACGCUGAGGUACGAAAGCAUGGGGAGCAAACAGGAUUAGAUACCCUCGUAG